rnacentral:rRNA from 1 species
GACGAACGCUGGCGGCGUGCUUAACACAUGCAAGUCGAACGAUGAAGCCGGAGCUUGCUCUGGUGAAUUAGUGGCGAACGGGUGAGUAACACGUGAGUAACCUGCCCUUGACUCUGGGAUAACUGCGGGAAACUGUAGCUAAUACCGGAUACGACCCUCGGAGGCAUCUCCUGGGGGUGGAAAGAAUUUCGGUCAAGGAUGGACUCGCGGCCUAUCAGCUAGUUGGUGAGGUAAAGGCUCACCAAGGCGACGACGGGUAGCCGGCCUGAGAGGGUGACCGGCCACACUGGGACUGAGACACGGCCCAGACUCCUACGGGAGGCAGCAGUGGGGAAUAUUGCACAAUGGGCGCAAGCCUGAUGCAGCAACGCCGCGUGAGGGAUGACGGCCUUCGGGUUGUAAACCUCUUUCAGCAGGGAAGAAGCGAAAGUGACGGUACCUGCAGAAGAAGCACCGGCUAACUACGUGCCAGCCGCCACCGUAA